UAAUAAUAUAAAAAUGCAUGUUUUACAUUUUGUCAUGAUAAUAUUAUAAUAAUAUGUAGAAAUAAUAAAUUGUCAAUUAUUGAUAUGGAGUAUGUGAAGUAGUAUCACUUAUUAAACUGUCAUGAACAUCUAGUUUCAUACAGCUUUUAUUAGUACACUUCCAUCGAAAAUUGUUAUUGCUUAAAGUUGUAUGAUAUUCAAACUUAUAACUAUCAAUUAUACAUAUAAAAACCAUUAGUCACGACCAAUUUAGAACUACACAUUUUUUCCAUAGCUUAAAAAAAAUUAGUAUUUACAGUACAGUUUAUGAACUACCGAUUUUAGUGACACGAUACUAUUGAUUUUAGUGAUUUAAGUAGAUACUAUCGAUAAUAAUUAUAUAGCCAACUUGCGUUACCAGUAAAAUUUACUACCUGAAAAAUAUACCUUUUUUGGGGACGCAAGUAACAUGCAGAUCCCAACCCUACCAACCUUACAGGCCAAUGACCUCAGUCGUCGAAUCCUUAUUCCUAAACAACUUUUGCAUAAUCGAAAGUAUAUAAUAUUAUGUGUUAAGUAUUUAUAAGUAGUUAUAGUAAUAGUUUUAAGCAACUUGUUCUCGAUACCACCGUACAUUAAUUGUAAAUAAAGUGCAUGAUAUAAAUAGGAUAAAUUGUACUCAAUCGAUUUGUAUUGUACUAAUUAAAUUAAUUUGAUUUAUGAAGUUAUGAACCGUUAUUUCUGUAAAUGAUUCAAUAAAUGUUUUUAAUUUAUUUAUUAGAACUCUCAUCUCUGCACAGCCAUUGGGUUUAAAUAAAAGAAAUACAAUAUAUCAUAAUUAAAUAUCAACAAGACAUUAGACAACAAAAAUUAAAAACAGACAAAUAAUUUAGGUUUCAGUAUAAUAUAAUAUUAUAUUUAUAUAUUAUUUCCAAACUAUUUGUCUUUGUUUUUACUACUGCAUUCUACCCUACAGAGUAUCAUUUAACCGUUUUUGACGUUCUUGUACAUACACGCCCUUAACCAAUUUUUGGAUUCGUCACAUGCCUGAAAAACUGCGAUCACGUGUUCCAAAACUUACUGGAAUAAUUAUAAUAGCAAUUUGAAGUAAUUUAUACCGGCGAGAAAAAACCUUUUUUUGAAUGCGAUAUUCCCCGAGCAUAGUAUGUCAUUGAUAACUGACAAUAUCAACUGUUGUAAUAUUAUUAUUACAUAUUUAUUAUCAGGCCAAACUACUCUAUUUUAAAGCAUAAAAUUAUGUUAAAAUAAUGAAUAUUUGAACAGUCCAAAAACUCAAUAAAUACUAUCAAUGUAAAUAAUGCAAAGUUAUGGCUAUAGGAUUUUUGGGGGCCCUAAUUUUGAGACAAGGGACUAUUUAAGAAACUCCCUGCCUCCAUAUAGUAUGUAUAUACUUUACAGUAUUUUUACGGCCUUAUCAGUUAUCGUGUUUGUUCGCGACGGUCUGUAAAUGUCUGCAUCGUAUACUAUAGUACGCAUCCGAUGAUAUCCAUUUUGCUCGUCCAAUCGAAAACAUUCGUCUUACAGCGGCGCGUCUUUGAAAACACGACUUAACGAGAAACGGGAAUUCUCAAAUAUUAAAACACUCGCUUAUAUUAUUAUUUUAUCUAUAUACAUAUACCAACUGCCAUAGCGCAGUGCCUCUUUGAAAUAUAUACAUAUACGAUUGUAAUAAUUAAUGUAGUCGGUGUUUUUACGCACAAUCGUUUGUCGAUAUAAUCCUUCGCGCGUGUGGGGGUAGCGUUGUAAGUAACAACCCUCGGGUGCGAGUCGGAUUUCAUAUACGCGUUUCGCCGCGUGCUCAAUCGGCGUCGACUUUGUAGAAUUCACCCGUCCUAUGUAUAUAUAUAUAUAUAUAUAUACGAACGCAUAAAUUACGUUUAUUCGUAUUAUAUUAUUAUAGGUACAUACCGUAAUAGUUAUACCGUCUUACACAUGCACACACCGUCACCGCCGCCACCCUCGAACGCGACUGACUUUAUAUAAUAUACCUAUUAUAUAUAUAUAUAACGUAAUCGAUGUAAACCCAACGGAGACAAAUUAUUCGAAAUACGCACAGCGUUAUGAUAUAGGUUAUGUAUUAUGUAACACUGUAUAGCCAUAGUACGCCUUUGAAAGUAUAUAUGAUAGGUAAUCUCCUAUAAACAUCCCUCUCGAACAACCCCACACGAUAUUAUAACCUUUUACACGACGUGCAGUUUUAACUGCGUAUAGUAUGGCACAUGCAGUGAGCUUCAAGCGUGUUCAUUAUAAAAUGUAUAAAUUAAUAUGCAGAAAGACAAAACGAUAUAAUAUUGUUGUAUCCUAUGGGUAGGCAUAUAUACCUAUUACCUGUUAUAUUGUAGUUCUGGGUUCAUAGGAAAAAAACAAUAAAUACCAACUUCAUGUCCAUUAAUUAUUAUCACCGUUAUAAUAUUAUUAUUAUUAUAAUACAUAAUAUUAUAUUAUUUUAUCGGAAAGGAAGUCCGAUAUUAACAAUAUUAUUAUUGUAGUCGUUCACCUUUAUUCGCCGGCGGACAAUAAGCUAUUUUUAAACAGUUUUUAAUUUUAAUCGUCGACACAUUAAUUAUUCACAACUGCACACCAUCGUCCGUCGUACAUAUUUUCAACAAUGAGCCAUUGUUCCGACGAGUAGACAUACAUAAUAUAAUAUGUGAAUAUAAAAUAUACGUAUAGCUUUAGCUUAUAACAAUAAUUAUAUUAUUUUUUUUAAGAGGUUAGUUCGGUCGUCAAAUAUCAAACGUUUACACACCGAUCCAUUAUAGUAUAAUAUUAUAUUUUACGGUAGUUUUUUUUUAACGUAUCAUGACAAAUCAAUUAGUUUAUAAUAAAAGUAUACCUAUUAUUAUUAUUACAGCAUAAUAUUCGACCGAAUGCAAAAUUAAUUUAUAAUAUGUACACGAAAUACCAGCCAUGCAUAUUGUAUUAUACCAGUAGGGCGAGGGGAAUCGCGUUUUCGCCGGAUUAUUAUGCGUCGCAAGUAUAAAUCAAUCCCUGGAAACCCCAAAAAUCGAUAGAAUACAUAUACAUCAUCAGUUCCGCAACACGAAAGACUUGACACGUUAUUAUAAUAUUCACACACAAAGUGACAUUUCACAUAUUUUGUCCUUUCGAGAUACUCGGCACGACAAGUUGUCCGAUUUGGAAAUAAUUAUUAAUAUUACAAACAACAUACAUAAAGGUGUAAAAUAUUUAAAUAUAUAUAACAUAGUAUCUCGAAGGGGAAAAAAUGUCUCGUCGGCGGGUCUUGCGUUUUUCAUCGUGAAAAUGGGGUUACUGGUUAGACAUAAACCAGGAGCAUAAUUAUUACUGCAGGGAACAGUAUUUUUUGGGAAAAUAUCUGUGUGAAAUUAUAUAAUAUAUCUCGAAGAGGAAAAAUAUUUCUAAAGAAUGAUAUAAUUUAGGAAUGCGGUAUACGUCUUAUACAGUACAAUAGUAGGUAUAACACCAAAUUAUAUAAUUUUGUGAAAAUAAUUAUCCGUACGCAGGGAACAAUCCCAAAUAUUCCUUUAAAUAUUUUCCAGAUUUAUAACCCUCCCCCCCAAGGUUUUUACAAUUCCCGUUUAAAUAUUGUUGCAAGAAAGUACUAUAUUCGUACCAUUCCCGAACGAUGACAUUCUUUGGAAAUAUUGUCGCUCUCCGAGACAUCGUCGCGGGGAUCAGUGUUUUCCCUUGAAACACUGAUCCCUGCAAUUAUUUUAUUGUCCGGGUCAAUGCGAAAUGCAGCCUCCCACCCUCAAAACGACUGCGAGAAUCGGACCUCCGAUUGGCGAGCCCGUCCGAUUGAUUCGUCAAAAACCACGUCAUGCACGUAAGGUUGGUCGGAACCAGACGCGCAUUAUAGGUAUGGUACGAUCCAAAUUCAAACCGCUGUUCAGUAUGCCGGCCGGCACUCGCCCCGACGACGACGACGACGACAACGAGUCGUUACGUGUGAGCGGUCGCUUAAAAUACGCGAGCGCGGAGAUCGUUUUCUCGGUAAACCAAUUAACGCGCCGGCCGGACACGACCGGGCCCGUAAAAGGCGCGCAACCGUCACAGCGGCAGCACACGCGACCCGAAUGGAAAUUGCCGGGCGACGACCACCGCCCGUGCCGUUCGGAGAAAACGGACGUCGUCGUCGGUCGUCCUCGGACCCCGUUUUGGGUAAACGUGUAUUUACACCGCUCGUCCGAUGUGUAUAUAUACACCGCGAGCGCCGCGACUGCAGUGGUCAUUAUUGUGCAUACAGGGCGCUUCCCGCCGCGGUUUCGGUCGUCGGCGAUGUGACGACUGUCCGGCACGGGGAGGGUCGUUCGGGGCGUAACGCAUAUUAUACCGGGAAACGUCUGUUUAAAACCGUUCAAACAUUAUAUAAUGUUGCGUAUUUGCAGUACACGGCUGCUGCGAGCCGAUCCUGCGCAUGGCUUGACGAAUUGAGAUAAUAAUAUAAUGCCAGUGGAUUUGCCCCGUCUUAAACUAGGUAUCCAUUGAUUUUGAACUAUACACGCCAUAUUUUUAACACGGUCGUUUUGAGGCCGGUUCGCAAUUUUAAGAUACAAAUUAUUUACGAUAUAGGUAUUGUAAUGACUGUUUUAAUUUAAGUUACCAAUGGCAACACGGCGCUUGAAUUGGGAACAAAUUAGAAGGAGGAAGUGCAAAAGUGUAAAAAAAAAUGUACCUGAAUAUAUUUUAAACGUCGUAUUGAUUAGAAUAUAAUUAGAAGGGGAACGCAUAAAUAUUUAUUAAAAAUAAGUGAGGCUCCUCUCCUCCCCCACGUCUCCCACAAUAUUCAAGCACUGCCUAUACAGACGAAUAAUUUUUUUUCGUGAGCCAACAAAUCCCUGUGUAAGGUUCUAUUUAAAUUGCAAAAUUUUAAAAAUUGGUUCGAGGUGCACAUCUUCGAGUAUAUAGAAUUACAUAUAUGUACCUACCAAAUUUAAGAACCACACGUGCGCAAUAGACUUGGCUGUGGUUUACAUAUAUACACACACAAACGAUGCAUUUUAUUAAUAUAUAUAUUAUAAUAUUAUGUUGUCACGUUUUUAAAAUAUUUGCACCCUUCAUAGGCUUACUACAGCCCCUAAGUACAAGCGACAUGAUAUAAUAAUAUAUUGCAUUACUCACUUCGUAUAUUACAACUGAUAAACGAUUAAGAGAAAUUUCAGUGAUGAAAAAAUUAGUAGGUAAUGAGGUAUAAUCAGUGAUUAGGUCAGUUAAAAAUCUAUACAAUUGAAAAGUCGUAAUAUUCAUAACAUUUUCUCGAUUAUAACAGUUGUUAUAAAAUGCAUUUUACUUUAACACGAGUUUAACAUUUCUUAUACUAAUUUUAACUGAAUAUUUUUUCGCCCUCAGAACGUGCCACGAGAGUAGAUUUAUUGUAUCUAUAUUAAGACGUCGACGAUUAUUUUUUAAUCUCUAAUUCCUAUAUUAUACAUCGUUUAGUACACAAAACAUUAGGCAUAUAAUAUAUUAUAUAAUUGCUUUUGUAAAUAUACUAUCAUUUAUCGCACUAUAAUUAAUUAUUUAUGUAAUAAAGAACAUUAAUAAGAACGUUAAUUGUAUAUUUGACUUUCGUGGCCUGCACACUAAAUGUGGCCACCACCCACCGACUUUAAUAAAAACAAACGACGACGUCAAACAAUAUUACGCGUGUCGCUAAAUAAAUAUAAUUCAUUCUGGAUAGCACACUAACAAAUAUUAAUGUUUAGUUAAUAUUAGGUCAUAUUAAAUUAUACUAAAAUACUGUGGAAUGCCAACAACACACGCGCCAAUCCUACAGGCAUACUUCUCAUUUUUUUUUUUGCGUUUUAGCAGUGUUAUAUUAUAACAUCGCGCUGUGAAUUAUAUGGGAUUAAAUAAUUUUACAAUCGAUCUACUAUGGAUUUCAUGCUCCGUGCCCUCCUCCAAACGGUCAAAAGCGGACGAUUAUAUAAAACGGUAAUUAUAAUAUACGAGUUUCGCGAACCACUCUGUGUACGUCCUAUGGAAUUUAGAUAUAUUAUAAUAUUAGUCGGGGUGGAUCACUACGAGGGAUCGCGGAAAGUGGCCGUGUGCAGUACGGUGCAGUUGUAGUUUGUCUGUUUAAUGCCACAGCGGACAACAAACCGGAGCGGCGGCUCGUAUAUUAUUUCACGUAGGUCCUGUACACUCCUGUACGUGUAUGUAUAAUGUAUAUAUACUAUAUAUAUAUAUAUAUAUAUAUAUCAUGUGCGUACGUAUAUAUAUAUAUAUAUAGUUUUAACGAGGGUGACAUGAGCUCCAACGAUCCAUUCGGCCGUCUGCGUGUGUAUGUAAUAAUAUAUUAUGCAGUGCGGUGCAGCACAGCCUCUUCUCUACCACCACCGCCGCUCGUAGAUAUAUAUAUAUAUGUGUGUGUGUGUGUGUGUGUGUGUGUGUUUGACUCUAAAUUAAACCCAUACUGCCUUCGUAACGUAUAUUCUUAAAACCCUAUACGUAUAUUAUACGACUGUUCUAUGGGUAUAUACGCCGCUCCAGGCUCUCCGACAUAAUAGGUAGAUAAUUCGCCUCAUCGCCGUCGUGCAAUGUGCGAUGCAGCGCCUGCACUGCACUGCACUUUAGUGCAUUAUAUAUAAAUUGUAUACGCGUAGUUUCGGACGUAACGCUUGUCGAAUGUCGAUCUGGACACUUUAUAAUAUGUAUACGGAGUGAUCUGUUUUACGAGUCACGUCGAUUUUUCAAAUUAUACAUUUUUGUGUUUUUGAAAAAAAUAUCCAAUAUUGAUACAUAAUAGACAUAAUAUUUAGAAAAGUAUAAUAUAAUGAUAUUCUGCUUCCAUUAAAUUAAAGAAAUAGCUUGAUAAUAAUUGCUAUAUUAUUAUACCUACAUACUGCUAUUAUUAUUAGGUUGUAGAAUAUGAAGAUAAUAUAACACCUAUCUAGGUAUAUUAAGGACGACUUGACCAACGUAUUGCAUUAUAAUAUUUCAGACUUCAGUCGAUAAUAUUAUAAUAUAUUAUGUAUACCUGCAUAUCUGUUAAAACGUAACACUUGGCAGAGUUGACCGUCAUCAUAUUAUUAUUUAUUGUGUUUACAUUUUGGUGGACAAUCGUUUACUUGAGGUACUAUGUAUAUUGUACAACAAUACUAUACGGAUCCGAUGACUGGGUAAAUCUAUCAAAUCGACAGGCUACUACAACAGCUUCCCGGCGGCGAGUAUUAUUACAUCACGCGUCGUGUCUCUGCGAAGUGGCGUAAAUUAAUAAAUAAUAAUAAUAUCGUCCUGGUUAUCAUCUUGCGUUAUGAUAGACGCCCGACAGCGCAAGGAAAUACGCAGACAGACUGCAGUCCCCGUGGCGUAUUAAUAAACUUCGUCACUGCAUAGCGGUGAUGAUUUUUCCUAAAUUGAAAAUAACAGUUUAUCCCAAAUUUUCCGAUAUAAAUUAAGUACGCCCCAGGCCCCCGUGGUUAAGUUAGGGUUCCGCUCGACCUCUUCGACCAAGCAUUUGAUUACUAUACAUCGACGGACGAAUUGACACAAUUAUGAUAAAUAUGAAUAAGGUACUUUUAAGUUUGAGCACAUGGGGCGGCACCCGCGAACUCGAGGUAAUAUAAAUUUGGUAUGGUAUAUUAUAAUAUAAGAGUUUUGUUAAUUUCCGCAAUAUCUCUAAAAUUAUAAUCUCUAUUUUGAAAAAAUAAUUUUAUUAGAAUUGUUGGUUUGUGUUAAACGUGCGCUGACGGAGAAGGCGAGAAAAAAUAAUUAUAAAUAUUUUUUGUAAGCUGUUAUAGUGUAUAUGAUGGUAUUUUCAGAAUUAAAUCAAAUAAUAUGUAUUUAAAUGUUAUUUUCAGACUUCGGUUAAAAAUAAUAAACGUAUUACAGCGAUUUUCCGUAUAAUAUAGUCAUUACUUAUUAGUAACCAUUUAUUUUAUAGUUCUACUAGUCCGAAGUAAUCCAAGAUUAUAGAUCUGCGAAGUUAAUUUGAUAAACGAUUAAAACGCGCGAUUUUAUUUCUAUAAUAAUAAUAAUAAUAUAAUGAACGGUAAAAGCAAAGUCGAUUUUACUGCAGUGCACAUUUUUGGGAAUAAAACCAUUUUAUCGUCGGAUAUAAAAAAGAAAAAAGAAAAAAGUAGCUACACCAUUUUGAUUUCGUCUCGGUAAAUUAAACUGCAAACCGUUUUGUAGUGAAGAGAGGAUCAAUUAUUAUUACCUAUGUACCUUAUUUAUGUCGUAAAAAAACAUCGCCUUGUCCACAUUAUAAUAACAUCAUAAUACUUACGUACUCGUACUAAUGACGGUUAAUAAAAAAUAAUAUUAUUAUUACGAAAACGCGUUUCCCUGCAGCAGUGGUCAAAUUGUUAUUUUAGUAUUAUCAUUGAUUAUUCUCUACUAUUUAUCAUUGAUAAUAUUUUAUUGAUAUUAUAUAAAAUCAAUGGUAUUAUACAAUCCAAAAUAUUAACAGUUUAUCGCACGUAUAUUAUAUUAUUAUUAUCCUAUACGACAUAAUGAAUGAUGCAUAUUGUGUUUGAAAAAAAAGAAUUAUUAAAUUCGUUUUUUGUUGGUUUUUUUAAAUCACAGGUAGAGGACAUUAACAAAAGAAUACAUUUUUUAGUGCACACAUUUAUAAUUUAGGUACCUCUGGUUUUUAUUUUUCCAUCCAGGCCAGUCGGAACACAACAAUGACAGUUGACAAAUCGCACUUUUGCAGGCUUUAUACAUUUGUGUUACAACUACACCAUUACACGGCAAUUAGUCUGUCAGUAUUAUUUAUGCGCUUUAUACUUUAUAUAUAUAUAUUAUUUGUACACAGUAGUGAACGCGAAAACUCGAUUUUUCGAUGACCGUUUUCGGAAAGGAUUACAAUCGUUCAUUGUGCUGUGUAAACCCACAAAAAAAAAAAUAAUAAUCAUAAUCGUUUGUAACACGUGAGAAAAUAGGUAUAAUGUUUACAAUAAAUAAUGUAUAAUAUUAUACAAAUACAACUACAGUCAUCCAUAACAUUAUAACAGCCUGUCUUUCGUAUUUGCUCCGACAAUAUAACAAUAAUCGGCCGCCGUUUCGCAUCCGACACGAUUCGACACUUAAACAUUUACACCCGCCGCAUAUUGCAUUAUGUACUUACGCCAUUUACGGGUCCCUCGGAUGCAUAUUUUAUUCAAUAUCGUACAACCAUAUAGUGAUAUAGGUGCCUACACCCUCUCGGCGAUCCUAUAUAUAGUUCUUCGUUUUGGCAACGACUACACAAAUACGCUAAAAAAAAAAAACGUUUAUCGCCC